GCAGUAGCCGCGGGAAUACAGAGGGUGCGAGCGUUAAUCGGAUUUACUGGGCGUAAAGCGUGCGUAGGCGGCUUUUUAAGUCGGAUGUGAAAUCCCUGAGCUUAACUUAGGAAUUGCAUUCGAUACUGGGAAGCUAGAGUAUGGGAGAGGAUGGUAGAAUUCCAGGUGUAGCGGUGAAAUGCGUAGAGAUCUGGAGGAAUACCGAUGGCGAAGGCAGCCAUCUGGCCUAAUACUGACGCUGAGGUACGAAAGCAUGGGGAGCAAACAGGAUUAGAUACCCGAGUAGUCCCUGUCUCUUAUAC
rnacentral:rRNA from 1 species